UACGGAGGGUGCGAGCGUUGUCCGGAAUCACUGGGCGUAAAGGGCGCGUAGGUGGCGCGGGAAGUCAACGGUGAAAGUUCGGGGCUCAACCCUGAAUCGGCCGUCGAUACUCCCGGGCUCGAGCACUGUAGAGGCAGAUGGAAUUCCGGGUGUAGCGGUGGGAAUGCGUAGAGAUCCGGAAGAACACCGGUGGCGAAGGCGGUUAGCUGGGCAGUUGCUGACACUGGAGGCGCGACAGCGUGGGGAGCAAACAGG
rnacentral:rRNA from 1 species